GCGCCAGUGGUUUAGUGGUAAAAUUCACCGUUGCCAUCGGUGAGCCCCCGGUUCGAUUCCGGGCUGGCGCA
rfam:Nadsonia fulvescens var. elongata DSM 6958 unplaced genomic scaffold NADFTscaffold_4, whole genome shotgun sequence.